UACAUGUGGGGCAAGCGUUGUUCGGAAUUACUGGGCAUAAAGGGUGCGUAGGCGGCGCGUCAAGUCACUGGUGAAAGUUUGCGGCCCAACCGUAAAAUUGCCGGCGAUACUGGCGUGCUGGAGUGCGUGAGGGGUUGGGGGAACGAGUGGUGUAGCGGUGAAAUGCGUAGAGAUCACUCGGAAGGCCAGAGCCGAAGGGGCCCAACUGGUACGCAACUGACGCUGAGGCACGAAAGCGUGGGGAGCAAACAGG
rnacentral:rRNA from 1 species